rnacentral:lncRNA from 1 species
ACUUUCGAAGCACUCCGUUCAUUGUUGUUCCUUCUGUAAAGAGUGGGCCCAUAAUCCUGGUCCUAUGGUGAUGAACGGGUGUCCCGCUCCGCUGGUCUUCCACUUUUGGGCGGUCUUCUUGAAGGAGAAGCACAUCUCGUCGCCUGCGGGCAAUGUGCGUGUACCGCCAUCUUGCGAAUAUUCGUAGAGAAGACUCUCAAAUGCCGGAUGUGAAUCCUCAGAGAACUCAGGUUGACUGCCACUCAAGGAGUAGUGCCUUGUCGGCUCUAGAUGUGAAUGGUCUCUCGCUAUGCGUAUCUCCAGAUCUUGCCUAAGAACCGGGGUAUUUCCUCGUUACGGACACAGCUUGAGCCUGGCUGUACGUGAAGUAUAAUACCCGUGAUGGCUAUCCAGUUUGUUUUUCCACACGUUAUGCUGUGCCAGUCAAUGCAAAUAAAUAUGCUGUAGCGUGAAGUCGUGUGACUGCGUCCAGGGACCGAAGAACGGAAAAGUACAGAGGGAUUUCGUCGCACGUUCCGGCUUCGCGAUGCAAUGUCAAGUAUAGUACUAGAGCACCGAACUCAAUUCCGUCAUGCACACAAGAGCUCCAGUCGUAUAGCUACGGUGUCUUUGUCUUUCGUAUAUUCCCUGAAGUCGACAACGGUCACAUCGCAGACCAUGGAACGACCAUUCUGUAUCGUGCGUCUGUUGGGGCAUGUACGCACUACGUUUCUUUCCGUAGAAAUAAGUGCUGGAGGGAUGCGAUAGGUGAGUUCAGUCGCGGUUUGAAUACUGCAACAAUCACGCGCGUACUGAACACAGAUAAAGUGGUGCAAUUCAAUUUUCCCGUGUUCGCGGCGGAUUCUCGUAUCUCACA